rnacentral:rRNA from 1 species
AGCAGCCGCGGUAAUUCCAGCUCCAAUAGCGUAUAUUAAAGUUGUUGCAGUUAAAAAGCUCGUAGUUGAAUUUCGGGGUUAGUAGGUUGGUCAUGCCUCUGGUAUGUACUGGUCUCACUGAUUCCUCCUUCCUGAUGAGCCGUAAUGCCAUUAAUUUGGUGUUGCGGGGAAUUUGGACUGUUACUUUGAAAAAAUUAGAGUGUUUAAAGCAAGCUAACGCUUGAAUACAUUAGCAUGGAAUAAUGAAAUAGGACGUUCGAUCCUAUUUUGUUGGUUUCUAGGAUUGACGUAAUGAUUAAUAGGGAUAGUUGGGGGCAUUAGUAUUCAAUUGUCAGAGGUGAAAUUCUUGGAUUUAUUGAAGACUAACUACUGCGAAAGCAUUUGCCAAGGAUGUUUUCAUUAAUCAAGAACGAAAGUUAGGGGAUCGAAGACGAUCAGAUACCGUCGUAGUCUUAACCAUAAACUAUGCCGACUAGGGAUCGGAUGAUGUUAAU